rnacentral:rRNA from 1 species
UACGUAGGUGGCAAGCGUUGUCCGGAUUUACUGGGCGUAAAGCGCGGGCAGGCGGUCUUGCCAGUCUGAUGUGAAAUCUCCCCGCUCAACGGGGAGCAGCCAUUGGAAACUACAAGACUGGAGUCUGACAGAGGUAGGCGGAAUUCCGGGUGGAGUGGUGAAAUGCGUAGAGAUCCGGAGGAACACCAGAGGCGAAGGCGGCCUACUGGGUCAGUACUGACGCUGAGCCGCGAAAGCCAGGGGAGCGAACGGG